AUGGCUCAAAUCUACAUGGCCCCUGGAUUGGACUGCGGCCGAUCAGGCUGUUGGUGAGGUAAUGGCCCACCAAACCUAAAACCGGUACGGGCUCUGAGAGGAGAAGCCCGGAGAUGGGCACUGAGACAAGGGCCCAGGCCCUAUGGGGCGCAGCAGGCGCGAAAACUCUGCAAUAAGCGAAAGCUUGACAGGGUUAUUCUGAGUGAUUUCCGCUAAGGAGAUCUUUUGGCACCUCUAAAAAUGGUGCAGAAUAAGGGGUGGGCAAGCCUGGUGUCAGCCGCCGCGGUAAUACCAGCACCCCGAGUGGUCGGGACGAUUAUUGGGCCUAAAGCAUCCGUAGCCGGUUCUACAAGUCUUCCGUUAAAUCCACCUGCUUAACAGAUGGGCCGCGGAGGAUACUAUAAGACUAGGAGGCAGGAGAGGCAAGCGGUACUCAGUGGGUAGGGGUAAAAUCCGUUGAUCCAUUGAAGACCACCAGUGGCGAAGGCGGCUUGCCAGAAUGCGCUCGACGGUGAGGGAUGAAAGCUGGGGGAGCAAACCGGAUUAGAUACCCGGGUAGUCCCAGCUGUAAACGAUGCAGACUCGGUGAUGGACUAGCUUAAUGCUAGUCCAGUGCCGCAGGGAAGCCGUUAAGUCUGCCGCCUGGGUAGUACGGUCGCAAGACUGAAACUUAAAGGAAUUGGCGGGGGAG
rnacentral:rRNA from 1 species